rnacentral:tRNA from 1 species
GCCGGAGCGGCGGGACGGUCUUACGCGGCAGUCUCAAGAACUGCUGGGCUUUAUGCCCAUGAGGGUUCGAAUCCCUCCUCCGGCA